rnacentral:rRNA from 1 species
AGUGAACGCUGGCGGUAGGCCUAACACAUGCAAGUCGAACGGCAGCACAGUAAGAGCUUGCUCUUACGGGUGGCGAGUGGCGGACGGGUGAGGAAUACAUCGGAAUCUACUUUUUCGUGGGGGAUAACGUAGGGAAACUUACGCUAAUACCGCAUACGACCUACGGGUGAAAGCAGGGGAUCUUCGGACCUUGCGCGAUUGAAUGAGCCGAUGUCGGGUUAGCUAGUUGGCGGGGUAAAGGCCCACCAGGGCGACGAUCCGUAGCUGGUCUGAGAGGAGGGUCAGCCACACUGGAGCUGAGACACGGUACAGGCACCGACGGGAGGCAGCAGUGGGGAAUAUUGGAAAAUGGGCGCAAGCCUGAUCCAGCCAUGCAGCGUGGGUGAAGAAGGCCUUCGGGUUGUAAAGCCCUUUUGUUGGGAAAGAAAAGCAGCAGGUUAAUACCCCGCUGUUCUGACGGAACCCAAAGAAUAAGCACCGGCUAACAUCGU